GGGAUGUGGUGAGGGCGCAGACGCAUCUUCCAGAGCCGACCUUCCCCCGCGCCCUCCAAAGCUAGGGGUCACGCUGUGUCCCCAGUCCCUUCUGCGUUUAUCCCGUCGGUGGUGUAGGGCAGGGAUCCCGCACCUUUCGAGGUCACUUGGCUUCCGUGAGAAGCUGAUGACGGCUCGGCCCCUCCCAGAGAACCGCUCAUGCUCGCCGCUUUGCCACAUUUUCAAGGCUGCUCUGGUGAGAACCCCUCGGUGACCUCAGGCUUACCUUGAACGGCUUCCGGAAGCUUUAACACCUGAUUAUUAAAGUCGAAGUGGCAAGGAACUCAUCUGUCAGUUUUCUCUCAUGGAAGUGUCUUACGAAACCAUUUUAUAAACCAUAUGCUUGAAAAAGGUCAGAAAACGCAGGUCCCCAAAUGCAGUGCGUGUUCGGUUGUUCAGCAUGUUGCCCUCGGGUUAUUUCACCCCAAGCCCAUCUCUGCAAACUGACCUCCAAGGGCCGGACAGACCCGGACACCCUCCAGCCUUGAGGCAGUCUGCCUGGGAAAUUUCUGAGAAGGGCUCCUUCCAUCCAAACCGUGAAAAUGUGGCGUCUUGGCUUUACGCUUCCACUUGUACCCACCUACAUACGUUUCCUCCUGCUUCAAACUCUGGCCCAGGAUAAUGGAUUACAUGAGGCACCUGUUUUGAGAUGUUCCCGUCAUUCCGUCAACUCCCGUGAUGGAGGCAUAUGGGGAAUAGGCGUGCUGCUGGGGGUAACACAUGCGGAGGCCUGGAUCCGAGAGUCAGUUCAAAAGGACUCCCCCCGUGGUGGACACUCUGUGGGUCUGGAAAAAUAUCCCAGUUGAGAGAAGCCUCCCUCUCUUCUUACUUUGCCGAGAGUUUUCUUUUUUAAUUGAAGUACAGUUGAUGCACAAUAUUAUAUAAGUUAUAGGUGUAAAAUACGGUGAUUCAUGACUUUAAAGGUUGUGGUCUGUAUUCCAACUAUUGUAAUUAUAAAAUUUUGGAGUUGCCAUUGUGGCGCAGUGGAAAUGAAUCAGACUAGGAUCCAUGGGGUUGGCGGCUCCAUCCCUGGCCUCAGUGGGUUAAGCAUCUGGCGUUGCCGUGAGCUGUGGUGCAGGUCACAGAUGCGGCUCAGAUCUGGCGUUGCUGUGGCUGUGGUCUAGGCUGGCAGCUGUAGCUCCGAUUAGAUCCCUAGCCUGGGAACCUCCAUAUGCCGCGGGUGUGGCCCUAAAAAAACAAAAUAUAUAUAUUUAUAUAUAUAUAUAAACAUUGGUAUAUUCCCUGUGCUGUAGCGUGUGUCCUUGUAGCUUAUUUUGCUCAGAGUUUUUAUCAUGCAUGAGCAUUGCAUUUUGUCAAAUGCCUUUUUUUGUUUUUUUUUUUUGUUUUUUUUGGCUGUGCCAGCAGCAUGUGGAAGUUCCUGGGCCAGGAAUCAAACCCACACCACAGCAGCAACCUGAGCCGCAGCAGUGAUCAUGCUGGAUCCUUAAGCACUAGGUCACCAGGGAACUGCUCUGAUUUACUCGUGGACAGCUGAACUUCUCAGAAAUCAGUACUGACACUGGCUCUGGAGUGUCAUCGGUGUGUCACAGCGCUCGGAACUCCAUGAAGGGGAUCUGACCCCGAGCCUCUCACCCUGACCCCGGGUGCCUGAAACCAGGUUCUCGGGAGCUCCCUGGGGCAGGACAGCAGGGCCACCGCCUGCCACGCCCCUCCUGCCCAC
rnacentral:lncRNA from 1 species